GAUGAACGCUGGCGGCAUGCCUAACACAUGCAAGUUGAACGAGAAGUUCUGGAACAAGUCUUCGGACAAGGGAAGGGAUGGAAAGUAGCGAACGGGUGAGUAACGCGUGGGCAACCAACCUUACACUGGGGGAUAACACAGAGAAAUUUGUGCUAAUACCGCAUAAGCGCACAGUACCGCAUGGUACGGUGUGAAAAACUCCGGUGGUGUAAGACGGGCCCGCGUCUGAUUAGUUGGUGAGGUAAAAGCUUACCAAGGCGACGAUCAGUAGCCGACCUGAGAGGGUGAUCGGCCACAUUGGGACUGAGACACGGCCCAAACUCCUACGGGAGGCAGCAGUGGGGGAUAUUGCACAAUGGAGGGAACUCUGAUGCAGCAAUGCCGCGUGAAGGAAGAAGGUUUUCGGAUUGUAAACUUCUAUCAGCAGGGAAGAAAAUGACGGACCUGACUAAGAGCCCC
rnacentral:rRNA from 1 species